rnacentral:lncRNA from 1 species
UGCCUGUCCCAAGUCAGGAGCCUGUAAUUCAGUGGUUGUCGUUUGUUUAUGUGUUACAUAUUUGUGUUUCGUUCAUUUUUUUACAUAAAUAAGGCCGUUAGUUUUCUCGUUUGAAUUGUUUUACAUUGUCUUAUCGGGGUCUUUUAUAGCUCACUAUGCGGUAUGGGCUUUGCUCAUUGUUGAAGGCCGUACGGUGACCUAUAAUUGUUAAUGUCUGUGUCAUUUUGGUCUUUUGUGGAUAGUUGUCUCAUUGGCAAUCAUACCACAUCUUCUUUUUUAUACGAUAAUAAGAAAUCGGUUUUGUUAAGUCAUUG